UAUAGUAAGAACCCUGGGUGUCUUUCUGCUCUUUUUUUUUUUAAUAAUGACUUUAUUGAUAUAUAAUUAUUUAACAUCCAUCCAUAAUAAAAAAAAAGUCAACAAACUAGGUGUAGAAGAAACAAUCCUCAACAAAAGUUGUAUAUGAAAGACCUACAGCUAGUAUCAAACAGAAUGGGGAAAAACUGAAAGUCUUUUCUCUAAUAUCUGGAACACAGUAAGGAUGUCCACUGUCACCACUGUUAUUCAACAAGCAUAUAAUUUUGAUUUUUAAUGCAUGUAGUUAAACAUAUGUUGGUUGCAUAAAUAUAGGUAACACUUAUCUCCAGCAAUAAGUAAUCUAGUUGGAUCACUUACUAAGCUUUGAGUUUAUGUCGUAGAAACUUACAAAAUUAUUGCACUUCAUAUUGAGUUAAUGAUUUUCUUUUCUCUGAACACA
rnacentral:lncRNA from 1 species